rnacentral:lncRNA from 1 species
GUGUGUUUGGUGAUACAGACACAGUGAAGUCAGUGUCAGUGAAGGAGGGAGAUUCAGUCACUCUACAGAUUAAUGUUACUGAAAUACAGACAGAUGAUAAGAUUGAGUGGGUUACUGAAAUACAGACAGAUGAUAAGAUUGAAGUGGAAAUUCGGAACUGAGAGGAAUCUGUAGCUAAAAUUAAUGGAAAGACCAGUAAGAUAUUUGAUGGUCCUGAAGGGAGAUUCAGAGACAGACUGAAGCUGGAUCAUCAGACUGGAUCUCUGAUCAUCACAAACACCAGAACCACAGACUCUGGACUUUAUGAAGUGAAGAUCAGUAACAGCAGUUCAGAGGAUACACACAGAUUCAAUGUUACUGUGAAUGAUGCUACAACACCAGCUUCUUCAUCAACUCCUAUUCCACAUCGUAGUUCAGGUCCUCAUUCAGGUUCCCCUGCAUAUCCUUCUUCACAUCCUCCUUCACAUCCUCCUUCAGGUCCUCCUUCAGGUUCUCCUGUAGAUCCCUCUUCAGGUUCUCCAGAUAGUCCAGACAGAUUUCCGAUAGUGCUGAUCUCUGCUGCUGCUGCUGGAUCUCUGUUGCUUCUUGUUGCUGUCGGGAUCUUCUGUAUCUACAUGAAACAAAGAACAACUGAUCAACAUGCUGAGACCCAUGAAGAGGAAAUCACUUACGCUGAUCCAACAUUCCACAAAAGAAAAGCACAGAAAUCGGAGGAUGAUGUGGUGUACGCUAGUGUCGUCCACAGACGUUAAUUACAUUCUCAUCAACUGAAUGUUUCCUUAUCACUGAUGUUUUGAUCACAGUCAGUACACAUGCACACUUUGCGAUUAUUGCAACAAGCUGUAUACAUUUUGAGAAUGGUGUUCAUGCUUGCAUGCUCUGUGUAGCAGCAGCAGCUUAUGUAUUCAAGCAAACAUGGAAGAAGCUCCUUGUUUGUUUUUUGUUUGUUUUUUUUAUUACAAAAGAGUGCACAUGUGAAAUAUAACUAAAGUGACAGGAGCAUGAAACUAGCUUAGCAUUUUAGAACAAAGAUGAUUUUUGGACAUUUGUGAGUUAUCUGCUUUUUCAAAUAAACUCUCUCCCUCCCUCCUCUCUCUCUCUCUCUCUAUAUAUAUAUAUAUAUAAUAAUAGACAAUAACUAAGUUAAUUUUAAUUUUAACUAACUAACUCUCCUCCCUCCCUCCUCUCUCUCUCUCUCUAUAUAUAUAUAUAUAUAUAAAUGCAAUACAAGUAUUUAUUUACUAUUUGUAUGCAUGUAAACUAUGAACCGCAAUAUUACAUUUUUUCAAAAUUUUCUAUUGUUUUUUUGUUGUGCAAUUUAGAUUUUUUUUUUUUCUGAGUAAUUUUUGCAAUGGCUUGCUUAUUGUGAUCUUGUUAAUGUAAUGCGUUUCAGUUAAACUAAAGGUCAAAGGUUAAGCAUACUCAAAUACAGAGAAAGCUGAUUUAGUUACAUAUAUAAAAAAUAGUUACAUAAAAACAUAGGUUAGUCUCAGUUGAAUCCAAAAAACAAGUGGCCCCAGAUAUUUUAUUCUUGAGUUCCUAAUUAACACCCUGUUUUUUGUACAGAUUCUGCACAUUUAGUUUAAGUUUGUGAGUCUAGUGUCCUCUGAGCUAUUAGAAAAAAUUACAAAUCCCAUUCUCAAAAAUCAUAAAACUCACAAGUAACACCACAAGUAACAGACAUUUAUCAUACAUGAACUUAGCACAAAUUAUGUCAAAGAAUUAACCAUGUUAUAUGUUCUAGCAGUUUAUUCUCCUCAGUGCAUUCAGAUCGGAUGUAUUUAUUUAAAAACAUGAUAGUCAUUAUUCUGUUGGUGUUAAAUUCAAAUGAAAACUUUGGCAAUCUGCAGAAUGACAGUGGACCUUUCAUUUUCUGAUACUUAUCAGAAAACAGAUAGUACUGUAUUUUUACGGUACUGCAUGUAUAGAAACAUAACACACAAGGCCUCAUUGUUUAGAUCUGGAAAGAAAUGUGGGUAGACAAAUCUGUUGUGGGUAGACAGCAUGUGCAUGAGAAUGUGCUUAUUACUGGAUGUUUGUGGUUAAUGUGCAUCUGUGUGUGCAUGUCUUAAGGCGUGAAUAGUGUGAGUGUGUGUUCCUGUGAAUCGUGUAGGGUUGUUGAACUUCCACAAUUCCACUUCCUCCUUAUGCAAAACUGUUUUAUUGCACAAUAAAGUACAGAAUCCAUGAAUGCAGAUGUUUGACAAAAUUAUUAAUGUGUGAUUGUGAAAUGUUACAACAGGGCUCCAAACAAAAAAAAAAAUCGAGUAAGGAGCCAUUUGCUCCUAUAAGAAAAAAACUAAUUUUUUUAGGUGCCACAGAAUAAACGUGUUUUAUUUAUUUAACGAUUGUUAUUAUUUAUUUAUUGACAUUUCAACAUUUCAAUCAUACUGUCAUGUGUUUAUGUCUCAUCUUUUCUGACUUUAUCAGCAUUUUAAUCCAUCUUGUAGAUGACCUGGGAACUAAGGUUCACUUAAAGUGGGAACUAAAUGCUUUUCCAGCUUGAAAUCUACAGUCACAAAGAAUUGUUCAUUACACAGAAUCUGUACCAGUAUCAUGGAGCAUAAGCAUCACUUGGUCACUGAGUGUAGCUUGGGCUCCUCCUACAUGAGAUAUUUCAGUAAGCUGUACUGUAGGAUCUCUUAUAAAAUAGCCUACCUUUUGAUGUUAAUUUCUUGUUCAUUAUGUACUAUAUUAGUAAAGAGAAAGAUUAAUGGGUUCACUUGCCCUUGAACUGAGGCGCUAAAGCGACCGCGCCUGCCCCCAUUAAGGAGCGCCAAAACUGUAUUGUUUGAAUUUCGUUAUGAAUUCGGAAUAAUUUUAAAGCUGGUACUUUUUAUUAAAAAGUGACUAAGCACAGAGCUUUUUGCGAUUACUGGACGGCAGUUGCACUUCAAAUAAUGAAGUUCACGCAUUAAAAAGCCAUAUUAGUAAUUAUUAUAACGAAAAUUGUUAACGAUAUUGCCAAUAUUCACACAGCUGACAGCUUUACCUGUUCUAGUUUGUUCAAGUUGUGUAUUUUCUGCACUUUCCCUUCUUCCAUCUCCGUCAUUUCUCUCUCGCUGCACAGCGGAGCUGCGUUUAUCAGACUGUGUGCGGCAGCACCGAUGUGCGGCAGAGAUGAGGACUGUCUGAAACUCUCUUUUUCCACUAAAACUUUGAUGCGCAUCGUCUCAGUUUAAUACGCGAACAUAACAAAAGAUUUGAUCGCAAAACAAUUAGGAAAAAAUCUUGUUUAGAAGAAGCCAUAUUAGUAAUUAUUAUAAACGAGAAUUGUUAACGAUAUUGCCAAUAUCCACACAGCUGACAGCUUUACCUGUUCUAGUUUGUUCAAGUUGUGCACGAAAUAGACGCUGUAUUUUCUGCACUUUCCCUUCUUCCGUCUCCGUCAUUUCUCUCUCGCUGCACAGCGGAGCUGCGUUUAUCAGACUGUGUGCGUCAGCACUGAUGUGCGGCAGAGAUGAGGACUGUCUGAAACUCUCUUUUUCCACUAAAACUUUAAUGCGCAUCGUCUCAGUUUAAUACGUGAACAUAACAAAAGAUUUGAUCGCAAAACAAUUAGGAAAAAAAGGCAUUACAUUCAAAUUUUUAAGUUAGCUAUAACGUAAAUAUAUACCCAGAUAGCAAUAACACUCGGGCUGAAUCUGGCUGAAAUGCGUCUCUGUCGGUUCAGUCUCGGCAUCGGUGAGAAGAUAAUGGGCCAGAGCCGCACCGACUCUACAAAACACUUCUGGCUGACAGACGGCUUUUUCCCUAUGGGCCGAUCUCGGCUGAAAGCUGUUGUACACGCGGCAGGUCCACACUCGGUGUAGUUGUGUGUAUUAACCUUCGGCCCCAGUUCGUUUUAUCACAGACGGGGCGCUGCUAGAAUGAAGCAAAUCAUCCGCCUGAGGAGCUUUCGGCGGGUAGUCGCCAGUGGCGACCUCAGCAAAAACAUCACUCGCAAAUUAAUAUUUAUGGUCGCAAAUGCGACUGUUUUAGUCGCAGUUUGGAGCCCUGUAAUAUAUAAUAUACAAUGUUUAUGUGACAUACAAGACUGAUAUUUAGUGGUAUAUGUAUCUCUCUAUGUAUUCAUGACCUUACAUACUAAUGCAGUAAUCCUGUGGAUAAGAAGUGUUAGUUUCAGCAGAAGUUAUUUGCAGCUCUAGCAACACGUAGAAGUUGUUUCUGAGAAUUUUCUACUAUUCUUGAUAUCACACCCAAGUCUGCAUAUGUAUUUUGAGAAGAACAUGGCAUGUUGGUCUGUCAACAUGUAGGGAAAAACCAAAGUAGAAUACGUUUAAAAAAAUAAAAUAAAAUAAAAAUAAAAU